rnacentral:lncRNA from 1 species
CCUUUGAUAAAGGCUGUUCUCCAACUGGAGUGCUCACAGGGCAGUGUUUCCCAGUUGUCAGUGUUUAUACUACAUUUUUUUAGAUUUGCCUUGAGACAACAUGUCAUCGACACAAUAAAAAUGCAUGGAGGUGUGUGUUUAUAGUGGGCCAUCCAGAUACCAUUCCACUCUAUUAAGAGUUCAGCAAUAGUUCCCCAAUGUCACUCGGUUAUUAUUGCCAUCUGGAAGGUCACUCUUGCUCUGUAUUGUGACAAAAGUGGGCAACACACACACCCAUGAACAUUUGUGUUAGAAAAAAGUUGCUGGGCUUUAGCAGGAAACUAUGGAGUCCGUUCCUAUUGCAAACGAAGCAGAAUGACCAUCCCAAAACAUUUGCAGAUGCAAAGGGUAUAGAAAGUGGGAUCACGUAUAAUCACCCCAGUAUAAGCUCAGAUAUGAACGCUCAAUAAAAAGGACAUCUGGAAGAUCCCUACAGCCUACCUCAAACUGAUGCCUUCCAGAUGUGUUGGGCUUCAUUGGCCAUGCUGGCUAGACCUGAUGGGAGUUGUAGUUCAAAACCUCUGAAGCAUUACUUGCUUUGGGAAGGCUGAGGUGAAAUACUACUAUAUUGUGGGAUUAGGACAGAACAAACCACCCCACCCACAAUUUACCCCUCUAUGCGUGGUUGACAAUGGGGAGUUUCAACCAUUUGUUUCAUUGUGAGGGGUCAAAAUGGCUGCCUGUUUUUGUUUACAGAAAGAACACUGUAAAUGGUACGAAUUAAACUGCACUGCACAAUGUGUGGCAAAGUCCCAGGAAGAUCUGUAGUCACAUUGCUUACCUGCAGGCAGGGAUCUGCUUUUUAAAACUUAUUUUGCAAUGACACAUAAUAUUAGGUAAUUUAUAGAUGAUAUACGGUGACGAUAAAGGCUCACGAACCAUGCCAGGGCCAAGAGGUAAUCUUUUGCAACAGAAAGAGGCGUUUCCGCUUAAUGUCUUUUGAAAGUUUUAUUGCAAGCUAAAUAUAAGCAUUCUAAUUUUAGCACCCACCUAGAACAAGCACAACCCCUGUGGGGAAAUGAAAAAUACCUGUUGCUGCUGCCCCUUCUUACCUCUUUUUCAGAACAUCUCUGGAGCACAAAGCUGGUCAGCAGUGCCUCUAUAGAUGUUCUGAAAAAGAGGUAAGAAGGGGCGGCAGCAACAGGUAUUUUUCAUUUCUCUUUCUGCAAUCCUCCCAGUGGUCAUUCCUCCUCUGGUUGAUUGUCUCCAGGCACUGCAGGCACCUGCAAGGGCAGGGUUAAUGUUGCAUACAUGAAGAGUUGUUUUAAUGAUAUAUAUUAACCUUUUGCUGGUGAGCUCCCAUUGCUCUGUCCCAGCUCCUGCCAACCUCACAGUGUUGAGUGAGUAUAUGAAUUCUUUCCAGCAAACAUAUCAUGCUUUGAUGGACAACAAUUGCCUUCUCUCUCAUUUAUUGAGAAAUAUAAGCCUGCUCCUUUUCAGCAAGGACAAAACCAUUCUAUUAUGAUAAGAUCUGACCAGCUAAGACUCUUGCCUAAUUCUGUUUUAGACCUAACUGAUACAGUGGCUCCUUUUUUUAAUAAUAAUAAUAAUAAUAAUAAUAAUAAUAAUAAUACCUUUAUUGUCAUUGCCCCCUUCGGGGACAACGAAAUUACUUGACUGCUCCAUAAAAACACUAAUUAAUCAAUACAGUAUAAUACAGCAAGGGAGAUUAGAUGACUUUCAAAGUCCGGGCUUCCCAUUCAGGGCCGAGAUCGCUCUGGAGAAGAAGCUGUUCUUAAGACGGCUCGUUCUUGUCUUCAUUGUCCUGUAUCUCCGUCCCGACGGCAAGAGCUCAAAGAGACAGUGACCAGGAUGCGAUGGAUCUUUUACUAUGUCCAGUGCCUUCCUAUGGCACCUUGUGGCAUAAAUCUGCUCUAAGGUGGAGAGUGGGCAGCCAACAAUGCUCUUUUUAUUCUUAAUAUGUGAUUUGUUCUGAAAUUUCUUGUGUUUAGUUUACAUUAACUGAUAUGUUCUAAUGGUUAUUUUAUAAUGAAUUUGAAAUGGCAUGUCUAUAUUGUCAAAAUGAAUUAUUUGGAUUUCAAUAUCUUGUUUUGAGUGCAUUGAUUUGAUGAUGUAUUCAUUUGCAUUUGCAUUGUAAAUUAAAUUGUUUUUAUUGAGUUUUGACAUGCAAUACUGUCGUACCUUGGAAGUCGAAUGGAAUCUGUUCCGGAAGUCCAUUUGACUUCCAAAAUGUUCAGAAACCAAGGCGAGGCUUCUGGGUGGCUGCAGAAAACUCCUGCCGCAGAAGCCCCAUCGGAUGUUCGGCUUCCAAAAAUAGUUCGCAAACCAGAACAGUCACUUGUGGCAUUUGGGCUUGUGGCAUUUGGGAGCUGGAAUGUUCGAGAACUAAGCUGUUUGAAAACCAAGGUACGACGAAGAAUGGAGAAGGAAAUUGACUGAAUAUGCAGAAUUGGACAAAUUGACUGGGAAGAUUCGAUAUCAGAAAGACCAAAAGUUUAUUGAGGACUGGGGGAAAUUUACAGAAUACAGUGGUGCCUCGCAAGACGAAAAGAAUCCGUUCCGUGAGUCUCUUCGUCUUGCGGGUUUUUUCGUCUUGCGAAGCAAGCCCAUUAGAGGUUUAGCGGCUUAGCGCUACAGUAUUAGCGGCUUAGCCGGCUUAAAGAUCAGCUGAUAAGCGGCUUAACGAUCAGCUGAUAAGUGGAUUAGCAUCAGCUGUUAGGCGGCUUAAAGAUCAGCUGAUAAGCGGCUUAAAGAUCAGCUGAUAAGCGGCUUAGCAUCAGCUGUUAAGCGGCUUAGCCAUCAGCUGAUAAGCGGUUUAGCGGCUUGGGAAAAAGAGGGGGGAAAGGAAAAAAACCCCGCAGGAACUCGCAAGACAUUUUCGUCUUGCGAAGCAAGCACAUAGGAAAUUCGUUUUGCGAAGCACCUCCAAAACGGAAAACCCUUUCGUCUAGCGGGUUUUCCAUCUUGCGAGGCAUUCGUCUUGCGGGGCACCACUGUAUCUGAAAAAUAUAUGUGAUGUACAGACAACGCUUGUUGGUUUUGAAGAGACUCUGUGAAAUAGUAAGAAAUACUGCAAAAAAGAGAGUAAGAGGAAAAGGAGUGGGGAAAGGCAAUAUUAUGUUUAGAAAUGCGUCAAUAAAUAGAAAUUUUUCGAAAGAUUGACAGAGAAACUGAGGGAAGUCAAAAAUUGAAGCAUGAGUGUAAAACAAUUUGAUGAUUGUAUAAAACUUGUUUGGAAAAUGAAUAAAAAUUAUUUUUUUAAAAAAAAGAAAACCAAGGUACGACUACAAAACAAAGAAGAAAAUCA